GCCUCGGUAGCGCAGUAGGCAGCGCGUCAGUCUCAUAAUCUGAAGGCCGUGAGUUCGAUCCUCACCCGGGGCG
rnacentral:tRNA from 1 species